rnacentral:rRNA from 1 species
AGUGAACGCUGGCGGUAGGCCUAACACAUGCAAGUCGAACGGCAGCACAGUAAGAGCUUGCUCUUACGGGUGGCGAGUGGCGGACGGGUGAGGAAUACAUCGGAGUCUACUUUUUCGUGGGGGAUAACGUAGGGAAACUUACGCUAAUACCGCAUACGACCUACGGGUGAAAGCAGGGGAUCUUCGGACCUUGCGCGAUUGAAUGAGCCGAUGUCGGAUUAGCUAGUUGGCGGGGUAAAGGCCCACCAAGGCGACGAUCCGUAGCUGGUCUGAGAGGAUGAUCAGCCACACUGGAACUGAGACACGGUCCAGACUCCUACGGGAGGAAGCAGUGGGGAAUAUUGGACAAUGGGCGCAAGCCUGAUCCAGCCAUACCGCGUGGGUGAAGAAGGCCUUCGGGUUGUAAAGCCCUUUUGUUGGGAAAGAAAAGCAGCAGGUUAAUACCCCGCUGUUCUGACGGUACCCAAAGAAUAAGCACCGGCUAACUUCGUG